rnacentral:rRNA from 1 species
GAUGAACGCUGGCGGGGUGCCUAAUACAUGCAAGUCGAGCGAACAGACGAGGAGCUUGCUCCUCUGACGGUAGCGGCGGACGGGUUAGUAACACGUGGAUUACCUACCUAUAAGACCUGGUGAACUUCGGGAAGCCGUAGCUAAAACCGGAUAAUAUCUUUAACCGUAUGGGUCAAUAGUGAAAUACGGUUUUGGUUUAACUUAUGGAUGGAUCUCGGCCGGAUUAGAUAGUUGGUAAGGUAAAGGCUUACCAAGGCGUGGAUGUGGAGCCGCCCUGAGAGGAUGAUCGGUCACACUGGAACUGAGACACGGUCCAGACUCCUACGGGAGGCAGCAGUGGGGAAUAUUCCGCAAUGGGCGAAAGCCUGACGGAGCCACGCCGCGUGUGUGAUGAAGGUCUUCGGAUCGUAAAGCUCUGUUACUAGGGAAGAACACCUGUGUAUGAAAAUCUGCCCGUCUUGACGGUACCUACACAGAAAGCCCCGGCUAACUACGUG